CGAAAAGUUGCUGGCACCCGGAAGUGUGGCUUAUACUCAGUGUGGUUUAUAAUAGUGAAAUUACUGUAAAUGGAAUAUUCCUGGUAGUUUCAGCAGGUAAUGUAACUAUUCCUAUGAGACUAGGACUAGGAUUUGCUUCUUCCAACCUAAUAAGAGUGCUAGGAGAGCAGGACCUCAAUCAUAAACCUAUAUAGUUUAAUGGAAGAAUUGUAUUGUUUUUAAUAUAUCUUCCUUCAGUGCACUGCAGGAAGCAUAAAAGCAACCUCUAAAAGGAAAGUUGAAUAUAGUGCAAACACAGAGUCAACUUAUUUGGUACAGAAAAACAUAUCUUCCUUUCUCCUGGGUGUGUGAGAGUCAAUUUAGAAAUUAUCAUUUAUUUAUGCAAACAUCUCAAAAAUUAAAAGAAUAUGUAAGACUCUUCAGCUUUGAGAUUUCAUUUAUGGAAUCACAGUGAAUAUCUUGAGUUUGGAAGGAAUCUCUGGAAGCUGUCUAAGGUGAUCUCUGCUCUUGGAUAAUAGUCAGCUAGAGUAGCUUGCUCAGUAUUCAGUCAGGUUUGAAACAUCUCCAAAGAUAUUCAAUAUCCAAAUAUAUCCAAGGGCUGUGCCACAUAGCUGGGCAACUUGUUCCUGUGUUUGACUACCCUUACUGUAAAAAUGAGGGGGGUUAUGUUUAAACAGAAUUUUCUUGAAUUGAAUUUAUGCCUCUUACACAACUGAGAAUAGCUGAUGUUUUCUUUACUCAGACAUUCAUACCCAUCAAUAAGGUUCCUGCUGAACCUUCUUUUUUAAGGCUAAAUAAUCCCAGAUCUCUCAGCCUCUCCUCAUAUGAAAGGUUCUCCAGUCCCUUCACGAUCUUAGCGGCCCUUUGCUGGACUUGCUCCAGCAUGUCCAUAUAAUUCUUGUGCUGGGGGGUCCAGAACCGAAUACAUAUCUCAGAUAUGAUCUUGCUGGUGCGUAAUAUGGGAAAUAACUUCCUUGAUCUGGGAAUACUUUUCUUAGUGCAGACAGAAAUUCUGUUGGCCUUACUUGCUGCAAGGGCAUGUUGCUGACUUAUCUUCAGCCUUUCCUUGAGGACUCCUACAUCCCUUUUUUUGUGCAAAUACACUUUCCAACUUUGGUACAUGAGGUUAUUCUUUCCCAUGUACAGAUGUUCCCUUUCUCUCAACAGGUGUAUCAAUCAGUCAUCCCAGUUUUGUAUCAUCUGCAAAAUUGCUAAGGGUGCACUCUGUCCAACUUCCCAACUCAUUAUGGAAAAUGUUAACUUGUGCUGUAUGAGAGAUGGAUGGCAUCAAUCACCAUUUUCGGCUACUACAGUAAAGAAUGAUAGAGACAGAGGUUCCUCUGAAGCACCUUCAAGGAAAAUGCAUGUGUGCUCCUCCCAUUCAGAUGCUGGUGCAUCCAAGAGGAUGGAUGUUUAAAUCAACGCAAUACAUUUCAACAAAAAUCUCCUGGACAUGGUACUUGAUGUGCAUUUCAUGGAAUGACUGUGUGUGAGCAACAGUAACAACAGACUCGAUGCUUACUCCAAGUCAAGGACUUUUCAGCUUUCCAUGCUCUUCCAGCAAGAAGGAGAACAAGAAGAGGUGAGGGAGCACAGAUGAGACAACUGACAAUAACUGGCCAAGAGGAUAUCCCACACUACAGAACAUCAUCCUUAGAAUAUAAACUAGGUGGAGCUGGACAAACAGAACUAAUCACUGCCCAGGGACAGGCUGAGCAUCACUCAGCAGGUGGUAAGCAACUGCACUUUGUUUUUCUUGUAUUUUCUUUUUCUGUUAUUGUUACACUUUGUUUUAAGAAUUAAACAGUUCUUAUCUCAAUCUACAAAAAUUUUUCUUCGUAAUGAUCCUUAUUUGGUGCCAAUGUGGGGCAUGAAGGAUUGAGAUAACUACAAAUCUGACCAAACUGUGAUGAAACAAAAUAUUUAUUGAGUAUUUUCAAAAAAUAGAAAAGCAUUCAUUUUUACCAGCUUAUGAAAUGAUAGAAUCACUAGCCUUGAAAUUAACUGUGUGCUAAGCAUUGCUGUCACCUCUGUGUUUUGGGAGCCAUCUAUUGGGAAUUAUUAAUAAUUACAUGUUUUGCCUUUUCUCCUUGCAGAGCCUUGCAGAGCCAGCAUAGGGCCUUCCUUCCUUCCUUCCUUCCUUCCUUCCUUCCUUCCUUCCUUCCUUCC